AGCCAUGCCGCGUGUAUGAAGAAGGCCUUCGGGUUGUAAAGCUCUUUUGGCGGGGAGGAAGGUGUUGUGGUUAAUAACCUCGUACCUUGACGUUACCCGAACAAAAAGCCCCGGCUAACUCCGUGCCAGCAGCCGCGGUAAUACGGAGGGGGCAAGCGUUAUUCGGAAUUAUUGGGCGUAAAGCGCGCGCAGGCGGUCUGUUAAGUCGGAUGUGAAAUCCCCGGGCUCAACCUGGGAACUGCAUUGGAAACUGGCAGGCUGGAGUCUUGAAGAGAAAGGUAGAAUUCCAGGUGUAGCGGUGAAAUGCGUAGAGAUCUGGAGGAAUACCGGUGGCGAAGGCGGCCCCCUGGACUGAAACUGACGCUCAGGUGCGAAAGCGUGGGGAGCAAACAGGAUUAGAUACCCUGGUAGUCCACGCCGUAAACGAUGACGAUUAGGAGGUAGAGCCCUUGAGGCCUGUAUUGCGGAGCUUACGGCAUAAAUCGAUCGGCUGGGGAGUACCGCCGCAAGGAUUGAACUCCAAUGAAUUGGCCGGGGCCCGGACCAGCGGUGGAGCAUGGGGUUUAAUUCGAUGCAACGCGGAGAACCCUAACUGGUCUUUGCCAUCCUCUGACUUUUCUGAAAUGGGUUGGUGCCUCCGCGGAACUGUGAAACGGGAGCUGCUUGGCUCCUCCUCCGGCAGCA
rnacentral:rRNA from 1 species